rnacentral:rRNA from 1 species
CAAUAAGCUAAAUAAGGGCGUAUGGGGAAUGCCUAGGGUCUCAGAGGCGAUGAAGGACGUGAUAAGCUGCGAAAAGCUGCGGGGAUUGGCACACACAAUUUGAUCCGCAGAUAUCCGAAUGGGGAAACCCACUAUAUUGAAGAUAUAGUAUCCGAAAGGAAGCGAACCCGGAGAACUGAAACAUCUAAGUACCCGGAGGAGAAGAAAACAAAAGUGAUUCCGAUAGUAGCGGCGAGCGAAAUCGGAUUAGUCCAAACCAAAGUUGUUACGGCAAUUUUGGGGUUGUAGGACCACGUUAUUGAAUGUUUUAUGAAUUAGAAUUCUUUGGAAAAAGAAACCAUAGAGGGUGAUAGUCCCGUAUAAGUAAAGACGAUAAUUCAUAGUGGUAUCCUGAGUAGUGCGGGACACGAGUAAUCCUGUAUGAAUCAAGCGGGACCAUC